GAAAUGCGAACCAAGCAGCCGGCACAAGCUGGCAUAAGACUUGGAGCUGGCCUUGGCAACGAGGUCAUGCA
rfam:Propionimicrobium lymphophilum ACS-093-V-SCH5 genomic scaffold aczIt-supercont-complete, whole genome shotgun sequence.